GGAGCAGCGGGUGUGCGGGAGUCCUGCGUGUGCCCUGUGUGAGGGCCCAGGGUAUGAAGCUGCAUCUGGACAGAGCAGGAGGAGGAUGUGAGGUGUACAAUAAAGAAUUCGACUGGACUUUCCCCUUCCAUCUGGUGUAUAAUAAAGUAUUUGACUGGCA